rnacentral:rRNA from 1 species
AUGGAUUGGUGCCUUCGGGAAUCUAGAUACAGGUGCUGCAUGGCUGUCCUCAGCUCGUGUCGUGAGAUGUUGGGUUAAGUCCCGCAACGAGCGCAACCCUUUUCCUUAUUUGCCAGCGAGUAAUGUCGGGAACUUUAAGGAUACUGCCAGUGACAAACUGGAGGAAGGGGGGGACGACGUCAAGUCAUCAUGGCCCUUACGGCCAGGGCUACACACGUGCUACAAUGGUCGGUACAAAGGGUUGCUACCUAGCGAUAGGAUGCUAAUCUCAAAAAGCCGAUCGUAGUCCGGAUUGGAGUCUGCAACUCGACUCCAUGAAGUCGGAAUCGCUAGUAAUCGCGGAUCAAAAUGCCGCGGUGAAUACGUUCCC